UAGGUCAGGUGUGUAAGUACAGCAAUGUAUUGAGCUAACUGAUACUAAUGAUCCGUGCGGCUUGACCAUA
rnacentral:rRNA from 1 species